rnacentral:sRNA from 1 species
GGAAGUCUCUUUAAACGCGAGAGUAAAACAAGAUCACUGAGACACAUGUCGAUGAAAGAUCAAGGUAAACCAAAAGAAAUCUUACUCAGGAGAAAAAUAACCGAAGGCGAGCUGGAAGCCUUAAGCUUGCUAGAAGAAGGCAGUAGUUCAAUCUUUGGAACAGAUUCUAUGU